rnacentral:rRNA from 1 species
UACAGAGGUCCCGAGCGUUGUUCGGAUUCAUUGGGCGUAAAGGGUGCGUAGGCGGCGGGGCCAGUCUGAUGUGAAAUCCCGGGGCUCAACCCCGGAACUGCAUUGGAUACUGCCUUGCUAGAGUACUGGAGAGGGAACUGGAAUUUACGGUGUAGCAGUGAAAUGCGUAGAGAUCGUAAGGAAGGCCAGUGGCGAAGGCGAGUUCCUGGACAGUGACUGACGCUGAGGCACGAAGGCCAGGGGAGCAAACGGG